CCUAACACAUGCAAGUCGAACGGUAACAGGAAGCAGCUUGCUGCUUCGCUGACGAGUGGCGGACGGGUGAGUAAUGUCUGGGAAACUGCCUGAUGGAGGGGGAUAACUACUGGAAACGGUGGCUAAUACCGCAUAACGUCGCAAGACCAAAGAGGGGGACCUUCGGGCCUCUUGCCAUCAGAUGUGCCCAGAUGGGAUUAGCUUGUUGGUGAGGUAACGGCUCACCAAGGCGACGAUCCCUAGCUGGUCUGAGAGGAUGACCAGCCACACUGGAACUGAGACACGGUCCAGACUCCUACGGGAGGCAGCAGUGGGGAAUAUUGCACAAUGGGCGCAAGCCUGAUGCAGCCAUGCCGCGUGUAUGAAGAAGGCCUUCGGGUUGUAAAGUACUU
rnacentral:rRNA from 1 species